UCAGGAGAGAAGCUGUGCUGCUGAU
rnacentral:piRNA from 1 species